GCGUUGUUGGGUAGGGGAGCGUUCUGUAAGCCUGUGAAGGUGUGCUGUGAGGCAUGCUGGAGGUAUCAGAAGUGCGAAUGCUGACAUAAGUAACGAUAAAGCGGGUGAAAAGCCCGCUCGCCGGAAGACCAAGGGUUCCUGUCCAACGUUAAUCGGGGCAGGGUGAGUCGACCCCUAAGGCGAGGCCGAAAGGCGUAGUCGAUGGGAAACAGGUUAAUAUUCCUGUACUUGGUGUUACUGCGAAGGGGGGACGGAGAAGGCUAUGUUGGCCGGGCGACGGUUGUCCCGGUUUAAGCGUGUAGGCUGGUUUUCCAGGCAAAUCCGGAAAAUCAAGGCUGAGGCGUGAUGACGAGGCACUACGGUGCUGAAGCAACAAAUGCCCUGCUUCCAGGAAAAGCCUCUAAGCAUCAGGUAACAUCAAAUCGUACCCCAAACCGACACAGGUGGUCAGGUAGAGAAUACCAAGGCGCUUGAGAGAACUCGGGUGAAGGAACUAGGCAAAAUGGUGCCGUAACUUCGGGAGAAGGCACGCUGAUAUGUAGGUGAAGUCCCUUGCGGAUGGAGCUGAAAUCAGUCGAAGAUACCAGCUGGCUGCAACUGUUUAUUAAAAACACAGCACUGUGCAAACACGAAAGUGGACGUAUACGGUGUGACGCCUGCCCGGUGCCGGAAGGUUAAUUGAUGGGGUCAGCGCAANGCUGGCUGCAACUGUUUAUUAAAAACACAGCACUGUGCAAACACGAAAGUGGACGUAUACGGUGUGACGCCUGCCCGGUGCCGGAAGGUUAAUUGAUGGGGUUAGCGGUAACGCGAAGCUCUUGAUCGAAGCCCCGGUAAACGGCGGCCGUAACUAUAACGGUCCUAAGGUAGCGAAAUUCCUUGUCGGGUAAGUUCCGACCUGCACGAAUGGCGUAAUGAUGGCCAGGCUGUCUCCACCCGAGACUCAGUGAAAUUGAACUCGCUGUGAAGAUGCAGUGUACCCGCGGCAAGACGGAAAGACCCCGUGAACCUUUACUAUAGCUUGACACUGAACAUUGAGCCUUGAUGUGUAGGAUAGGUGGGAGGCUUUGAAGUGUGGACGCCAGUCUGCAUGGAGCCGACCUUGAAAUACCACCCUUUAAUGUUUGAUGUUCUAACGUUGACCCGUAAUCCGGGUUGCGGACAGUGUCUGGUGGGUAGUUUGACUGGGGCGGUCUCCUCCUAAAGAGUAACGGAGGAGCACGAAGGUUGGCUAAUCCUGGUCGGACAUCAGGAGGUUAGUGCAAUGGCAUAAGCCAGCUUGACUGCGAGCGUGACGGCGCGAGCAGGUGCGAAAGCAGGUCAUAGUGAUCCGGUGGUUCUGAAUGGAAGGGCCAUCGCUCAACGGAUAAAAGGUACUCCGGGGAUAACAGGCUGAUACCGCCCAAGAGUUCAUAUCGACGGCGGUGUUUGGCACCUCGAUGUCGGCUCAUCACAUCCUGGGGCUGAAGUAGGUCCCAAGGGUAUGGCUGUUCGCCAUUUAAAGUGGUACGCGAGCUGGGUUUAGAACGUCGUGAGACAGUUCGGUCCCUAUCUGCCGUGGGCGCUGGAGAACUGAGGGGGGCUGCUCCUAGUACGAGAGGACCGGAGUGGACGCAUCACUGGUGUUCGGGUUGUCAUGCCAAUGGCACUGCCCGGUAGCUAAAUGCGGAAGAGAUAAGUGCUGAAAGCAUCUAA
rnacentral:rRNA from 1 species